rnacentral:tRNA from 1 species
GAGAGAGGCUCGCAGCAACAGAUACUGCUAAUUUCUGCGACCAUGGUUAAACUCCCUGGCUCACUCG